AAACAACCAAAUAAAAUCAUUGGCAAUGCAGUGCUAUUUGUGAACCUGUCUGGUAUUGAUAUAACAGCAGUGUAACUCAUGAAAGUAUCCCUGGAGACACAUCCAAAUAUAAACAACCUGAAAUACAUCGCCUGCCAAUCUAGCCAGCAGCAGCCAUCUGGUCCUCUCCACUUACAGUGCUGAAUAGGAAAAUGAGAAAAUAAAUAGCCAGCAGCACCACAUUCCUCUUAAUGCUGACUCGAGUCAACCGACUUCUCGCGCUCCGGCCCACAGGAAAUGGGUGGAUGAGGAGGAGAAAAGGCGGAUGAUUGGAAAGACAGCCACAAAAGUAAAGGAAGGGGAAGCUGUCAAUGAAAGUGGUGAAAGAGGAGAAUCCUGGCACCGCCCGGUACUGGGAACUCAGAUGGUGGAUGUACAGUAUGUGCAGCUGCACGUCCUGGAAGCAGCUGCACAGCGGAAACCAGAAUGCUCCAUCUUUGCAAUCCAUGUUCACAGUCUGAGCAGCAGCUUAUGGACAUUGGUUGCACAAAUCACCUCCAGCUAUGCCUCACCGUCAGACAACAAAACUACAACUGUUACAAGUGUUACUUUAAUUGAAAUCCUCUAUUUAUUGAACUUGCAUUAUUGCUGGCGAGCGGCUGAGUGUCUUUGGGGCAUGUGAUUCAUUUUGUCAGUGUAAUGAGCUUUGUUUGGGUGGAUAUACCCAUACACCUCAGAGGAUUAUCCUGUGCCACACAUUAAGACUUUAGGGUGUCAGGUGCAGGGAUGCAUGACUCCAUUUCUACAGGAGCACUUAAGCUCUCGGCUGCAGAGAGCAAAUCAUUGAGCGACAUUAUGAAACAAUUAUUAUAAUUCACUUUUAAAAACCAACUUUUAUUCCUCUGAGCUUGAAUCCUCUUGCAUUACCAAGAGAUUCCAUCUGGUGUGUAGACUGUGUUGUUUUACAUCACCUGCAUUAUCUUUUAUCUGCUUUACUCUUGUAGUAUUUGUUUAAAGACUCUCUACAGAACUUUGAUGCACCGGAUCAAUCCAAAAGACUUUAUUUUGCCCAUGUAUUACCCCAUAGAUGUGUCUGCCACCUGCUGGAUGAUUAGUAGAUACUGGUUUGAUGGUGGCUUAGGAGCAGGUGAGGUUGUUAGUGAAAGAGGCUGACCUUUCCACUCAGAAAUGUACAAAAUCAGAGAAAUAAAGAGUUACUUUCUAAUUGCCUCUAAAUGUUCUAAAACUCAGGUAACAAAGUC